UACGGGAGGCAGCAGUGGGGAAUAUUGCACAAUGGGCGCAAGCCUGAUGCAGCCAUGCCGCGUGUAUGAAAAAGGCCUUCGGGUUGUAAAGUACUUUCAGUCGUGAGGAGGUGUUAAGGUUAUAACCUUAGCAAUUGACGUUAGCGACAGAAGAAGCACCGGCUAACUCCGUGCCAGCAGCCGCGGUAAUACGGAGGGUGCGAGCGUUAAUCGGAAUUACUGGGCGUAAAGGGCACGCAGGCGGUUAAUUAAGUUGGAUGUGAAAUCCCCGGGCUUAACCUGGGAAUGGCAUUCAAGACUGGUUAGCUAGAGUCUUGUAGAGGGGGUAGAAUUCCAUGUGUAGCGGUGAAAUGCGUAGAGAUGUGGAGGAAUACCGGUGGCGAAGGCGGCCCCUGGACAAAGGACUGACGCUCAUGUGCGAAAGCGUGGGGAGCAAACAGGGAUUAGAUACC
rnacentral:rRNA from 1 species